UCAUGGUUACAUGGUAAGAGUAUUUCUAAUUCAUUACUAUUUUUUAUUACAAUAAUUUAGCGUCAAUUUCAUUUUAACUUAUUGGUAUUUAUUCCUCCAAAAUAUAAAUUAUAUUUUUUUUCUAUUUUUAGGGAAAUAAAUAUCAAUUUUUAUUUGUACUCUAUAUUUUAAAAAUUACUAUAUUGGAACAAACUCUAUCAUAUUCUAUCUUUAUUAUAGAGAUUUUUUAUUUUAUAGUAAAAUAUAACAAAAUAAACGUUAUCAAGCGAAUGUCAUACCAUUUUGGCUAGUUAGAGCUUUUAUGAAAACUUAACUGUAAGCUAGGAGACGUUUUUCAUGUUAAUUUUUUGUUUUAAGAGAAUGCAUUCACCAUGUUAAAGAAAAAUGAGGUGCGCAGAAGCAAUCACUUUGAACAACUCACAUGGUGGUGUUUUUCUCUGUCGCAAGCCACAAACUUUUUUUUCUCUUUCCAAUGAAUAUGUGGUUGUUUUAAUUCUAUUGCAGUUUUAUCAAAAAGGAAUUAAAUCUUUUAUUUUUUAUAUUUUUUUAUAAUCGCGAAUAUACAACGGACCAAAAUCCAACUAAUUAGUCUUUUGGGUGUCUAUCCACCAGCGUCAAACAAAUUCGGUUUCUCGUAAUAGGAUUUUGACACAUGUCGUUUAGCCCAUACAUAUUUAGAAGAGAAUAUUACAUUGUAAGACAGUUUUACACUUACAAAUAACACUCUAGGACAGUUUCAACUACUCAGACACUUUUCUCUUUUUCCAAUGCAACUUUUCCUUCGUUUAACACGUGAAAACUCAAUAUUACCCUUUUCUUAUUCUUUACACUAAACUACAAAAUUGAAAUCAAACACUAUCUUUUUAUUUUUUUAUUUUUAUUUGUGGUUACGGUCACCUCAGCUCUAUCAUCUUCUUCAUCUAUUAUUCUGAAAUUUGGAAAAUUUUGAUCGAUUUACAGUAUUACUAAAAGAGUUAUUGUACAUCGUUUUGUCCAAAAUCUCUUAUAUCCUCUCUCUCUCCUGCCCCCUUUCCGGCAACAUCGCUCUUGAUUCAGCUGCAUCUCCAUCAAUGCUUGACCCUCUCCCUUACUCUGCCUUUACAAACCCGGAUCCAAUCCGAGGCAGCGAAACUGUCGUCGUCCUCACUGCGCCUCUAUAGGGCAAUACACCACCAUAAAGAGAUGUUGGAGCAUGUAAAGUAUGUAAGUUAACGGAGAAGACGAACUACGAGCAGAGAAGUGGAGGAUUCACAGAGCAGUCGAGCGGAAAAGGGGAGAGGAGAAGUGUAGUUGACAGUCUGAGUUUCAAGGCCACCGAGUUAAGACUCGGUUAACCCGGGUCCGAGUCACCCAAUCGAGCCUUUCUUCAGUAAAUAUCAAACGUCAAUGUUUUGAUGAGUUACAUAUACAUGUGGUCUAAGUUCAUCCAGCUGUGACUCCCUCCACCAUCUGGUUAUCUCUUCUUUAUUCUUCCUUAUGCUGAGAAUAGUUUCACAUGUGUUGCAAACUUUGUUGCCUUUAUUUAACAGAUUUGUCUCAUUUUGACUUGUAAAACAUUCCCUGUUGAGGGAAUAAGAUGAAAGAAAAUUUAAAAAGCUAGUAAGAAAGAAAUUUGCAUAAAUAUCGAACUUGUAGAUGUAUAGUCGGAUACUGGUACAUAAACAGUGUUUAUGUAGAUAUUUUAUGAACUGGUGUACAUAUGGUUAUUUUGCCGAGUCUGUGUACAUGUGGUUAUAUUUAUAGUCUAGUAUAUACGUGGAUAGUGAAAUAUAUGAUUACAUGAAUGUUGUUUGACCUUAUACAUGUUGAAACAUUGUUUAACAGAUUUGUAAUUGUCUAGCUAGUAAUGUUAUAUUUUGGUAUAGUGUA